UCAAAUUAUGCUGAAAACACCAGUUAUCAUUCGAUCAUGGAAGUUAAGCAGCAUGAAGCCUAGUCAGUACAUAGAUGGGGGACCACUUGGGAAAAUCUGGUACAGU